rnacentral:rRNA from 1 species
UACGUAGGGUGCAAGCGUUGUCCGGAAUUAUUGGGCGUAAAGAGCUCGUAGGCGGUUUGUUGCGUCGGCUGUGAAAUCCCGAGGCUCAACCUCGGGUCUGCAGUCGAUACGAGCAAACUAGAGUGUUGCAGGGGAGACUGGAAUUCCUGGUGUAGCGGUGGAAUGCGCAGAUAUCAGGAGGAACACCGAUUGCGAAGGCAGCUCGCUGGGACGUAACUGACGCUGAGGAGCGAAAGCGUGGGGAGCGAACAGG